rnacentral:miRNA from 10 species
UGUCAGUUUGUCAAAUACCCCA